GUAGGUGGCAAGCGUUGUCCGGGAAUUAUUGGGGCGUAAAGCGCGCGCAGGCGGUUCUUUAAGUCUGAUGUGAAAGCCCACGGGCUCAACCGUGGAGGGUCAUUGGAAACUGGAGAACUUGAGUACAGAAGAGGAAAGCGGAAUUCCACGUGUAGCGGUGAAAUGCGUAGAGAUGUGGAGGAACACCAGUGGCGAAGGCGGCUUUCUGGUCUGUAACUGACGCUGAGGCGCGAAAGCGUGGGGAGCAAACAGGAUUAGAUACCCUGGUAGUCCACGCCGUAAACGAUGAGUGCUAAGUGCUAGGGGGUUUCCGCCCCUUAGUGCUGCAGCUAACGCAUUAAGCACUCCGCCUGGGGAGUACGGCCGCAAAGACUG
rnacentral:rRNA from 1 species